AGCGAACGCUGGCGGCAUGCCUAACACAUGCGAGUCGAACGAGACCUUCGGGUCUAGUGGCGCACGGGUGCGUAACGCGUGGGAACCUGCCCUUAGGUUCGGAAUAACUCCCCGAAAGGGGUGCUAAUACCGGAUAAUGUCUUCGGACCAAAGAUUUAUCGCCUUUGGAUGGGCCCGCGUUGGAUUAGCUAGUUGGUAGGGUAAAAGCCUACCAAGGCGACGAUCCAUAGCUGGUCUGAGAGGAUGAUCAGCCACACUGGGACUGAGACACGGCCCAGACUCCUACGGGAGGCAGCAGUGGGGAAUAUUGGACAAUGGGCGAAAGCCUGAUCCAGCAAUGCCGCGUGAGUGAUGAAGGCCUUAGGGUUGUAAAGCUCUUUUACCCGGGAUGAUAAUGACAGUACCGGGAGAAUAAGCUCCGGCUAACUCCGUG
rnacentral:rRNA from 1 species